GUGAUCGCUUCAGCAGCACACAUAUGAAAAUUGGAAAAAUACAGAGAAAAUUAGCAUGGCCCCUGUGCAAGGAAGGGGCAUAUUUGUGAAGCAUUCCAUUUAAAA
ensembl:snRNA U6 U6 spliceosomal RNA